AACGAACGCUGGCGGCAGGCUUAACACAUGCAAGUCGAGCGCCCCGCAAGGGGAGCGGCAGACGGGUGAGUAGCGCGUGGGAAUCUACCCAUCUCUACGGAAUAACGCAUGGAAACGUGUGCUAAUACCGUAUACGUCCUUCGGGAGAAAGAUUUAUCGGAGAUGGAUGAGCCCGCGUUGGAUUAGCUAGUUGGUGGGGUAAAGGCCUACCAAGGCGACGAUCCAUAGCUGGUCUGAGAGGAUGAUCAGCCACACUGGGACUGAGACACGGCCCAGACUCCUACGGGAGGCAGCAGUGGGGAAUAUUGGACAAUGGGCGCAAGCCUGAUCCAGCCAUGCCGCGUGAGUGAUGAAGGCCCUAGGGUUGUAAAGCUCUUUCACCGGUGAAGAUAAUGACGGUAACCGGAGAAGAUGCCCCGGCUAACUUCGUGCCAGCCGCCGCAGUAACAC
rnacentral:rRNA from 1 species